UACGAAGGGAGCUAGCGUUGUUCGGAAUUACUGGGCGUAAAGCGCACGUAGGCGGCUUUCUAAGUCGGGGGUGAAAUCCUGGAGCUCAACUCCAGAACUGCCUUCGAUACUGGAGAGCUCGAGUCCGGGAGAGGUGAGUGGAACUGCGAGUGUAGAGGUGAAAUUCGUAGAUAUUCGCAAGAACACCAGUGGCGAAGGCGGCUCACUGGCCCGGUACUGACGCUGAGGUGCGAAAGCGUGGGGAGCGAACAGG
rnacentral:rRNA from 1 species